AGAGUUUGAUCCUGGCUCAGAUUGAACGCUAGCGGCAUGCUUUACACAUGCAAGUCGAACGGCAGCACGGGCUUCGGCCUGGUGGCGAGUGGCGAACGGGUGAGUAAUACAUCGGAACGUACCCAGAAGUGGGGGAUAACGCAGCGAAAGUUGCGCUAAUACCGCAUACGUUCUACGGAAGAAAGUGGGGGAUCUUCGGACCUCAUGCUUUUGGAGCGGCCGAUGUCUGAUUAGCUAGUUGGUGGGGUAAAGGCUCACCAAGGCGACGAUCAGUAGCUGGUCUGAGAGGACGACCAGCCACACUGGAACUGAGACACGGUCCAGACUCCUACGGGAGGCAGCAGUGGGGAAUUUUGGACAAUGGGCGCAAGCCUGAUCCAGCAAUGCCGCGUGAGUGAAGAAGGCCUUCGGGUUGUAAAGCUCUUUUGUCAGGGAAGAAACGGCUCCGGCUAAUAUCCGGGGCUAAUGACGGUACCUGAAGAAUAAGCACCGGCUAACUACGUGCCAGCAGCCGCGGUAAUACGUAGGGUGCAAGCGUUAAUCGGAAUUACUGGGCGUAAAGCGUGCGCAGGCGGUUUUGUAAGUCUGUCGUGAAAGCCCCGGGCUCAACCUGGGAAUUGCGAUGGAGACUGCAAGGCUUGAAUCUGGCAGAGGGGGGUAGAAUUCCACGUGUAGCAGUGAAAUGCGUAGAGAUGUGGAGGAACACCGAUGGCGAAGGCAGCCCCCUGGGUCAAGAUUGACGCUCAUGCACGAAAGCGUGGGGAGCAAACAGGAUUAGAUACCCUGGUAGUCC
rnacentral:rRNA from 1 species